rfam:Tropilaelaps mercedesae isolate Wuxi-XJTLT scaffold0000024592, whole genome shotgun sequence.
AAAACGGCCCUUUUUAGGGCCACCACAUUUUAAAUGAUCAACACUUU